rnacentral:tRNA from 1 species
GGUGAGAUGGCCGAGUUGGUUAUGGCGCCAGGUUAAGGUUACCUUAACUACAAUUUCCUGGUGGAGCAAUCCUCCUGGGUUCAAGUCCCAGUCUCAUCA